rnacentral:rRNA from 1 species
AACGAACGCUGGCGGCAUGCCUAACACAUGCAAGUCGAACGAGAUCUUCGGGUCUAGUGGCGCACGGGUGCGUAACGCGUGGGAAUCUGCCCUUUGGUUCGGAAUAACAGUUGGAAACGACUGCUAAUACCGGAUGAUGACGAAAGUCCAAAGAUUUAUCGCCAGAGGAUGAGCCCGCGUAGGAUUAGCUAGUUGGUGUGGUAAAGGCGCACCAAGGCGACGAUCCUUAGCUGGUCUGAGAGGAUGAUCAGCACACUGGGACUGAGACACGGCCCAGACUCCUACGGGAGGCAGCAGUGGGGAAUAUUGGACAAUGGGCGAAAGCCUGAUCCAGCAAUGCCGCGUGAGUGAUGAAGGCCUUAGGGUUGUAAAGCUCUUUACCCGGGAUGAUAAUGACAGUACCGUGAGAAUAAGCUCCGGCUAACUCCGUGCCAGCCGCCGCGGUAA